CAGAGUUCAUGCCCUUCGGGGUAGAUCUCCCACCCGUGUAUUUAUACCUUUGUUGCUUUGGCAGGCCUGCCUCGGCCACCGGCUCCGGCUGGUAAGUGCCUACCAGAGGACCCAAAACUCUGAAUAUUAGUGUCGUCUGAGUACUAUAUAAUAGUUA
rnacentral:misc_RNA from 1 species